AUGAUUGAUCCCAAUCUCCA
rnacentral:misc_RNA from 1 species